rnacentral:rRNA from 1 species
GACGAACGCUGGCGGCGUGGAUUAGGCAUGCAAGUCGAACGGUAGGGUCCUUUCGGGGACCUGAGAGUGGCGAACGGGUGAGUAACGCGUAGGUGACCUGCCCCGAAGAGGGGGAUAACAGUCCGAAAGGAUUGCUAAUACCCCAUGUGGUUAUCGGGAUCAGAAUCUGAUAACUAAAGUCGUAAGACACUUUGGGAGGGACCUGCGUCCCAUCAGCUAGUUGGUAAGGUAACGGCCUACCAAGGCUAUGACGGGUAGGGGACCUGAGAGGGUGGACCCCCACAAUGGCACUGAAACACGGGCCAUACACCUACGGGUGGCUG